rnacentral:rRNA from 1 species
AUUGAACGCUGGCGGCAGGCCUAACACAUGCAAGUCGAGCGGAGCGGCGGACGGGUGAGUAAUGCCUAGGAAUCUGCCGGGUAGUGGGGGAUAACGUCCGGAAACGGGCGCUAAUACCGCAUACUAUCAGAUGAGCCUAGGUCGGAUUAGCUAGUUGGGGGGGUAAAGGCCUACCAAGGCGACGAUCCGUAACUGGUCUGAGAGGAUGAUCAGUCACACUGGAACGUAGACACGGUCCAGCCUCCUCCCGGAGGCAGCAGGUGCCAUGCUUGGACCAUGGGCGAAAGCCUGCUCCAGCCAUGCCGCGUGUGUGAAGACGGUCUUCGGUUUUUACAGCACUUUAAGUUGGGAGGCGUUACCAACAGAAUAAGCACCGGCUAACUUCGUGCCAGCAGCCGCGGUAAUUC